AUGAAUCCCCGUUUCCUUUUGUCCACGUGGCAACAUUAGCUUAAUCCAAUUUUUGGUGGACCCUACCUGUCGUUCUAAGAGACUGUUAAUUAGUGGGUGGGGCCCACCCAACCUAAAAAUUUGUUCUAUUCUGUUUCCCAUUUAAUUUUCCAUUUUCUAAUUAACUUCGUCUUUUCCACCACCGUCUCCUUCGCUCGCCCCUCUAGGUGCCGCUCCGACUCCCGUUCCCUCUCUGGACGGAAUAUUGGCGGAGUUCAUGGCCGUCCCUUCUUCUGGUCGCACCGUUCCCGUUAGCGACGCUUCGUUUCGGCUUAUGCAUCACCUCCGGUCGCUUCGUUUCGUUGGCACCCUAGAUGCCGCUCCGACAACCGUUCCCUCUCUGGAUGGAAUCUUGGCCGAGUUCAUGGCCGUCCCUUCUUCCGGUCGCGCCGUUCCCGUUAGCGACGCUGCGUUUCGGCUUAUGCAUCCCUUCCGGUCACGAAAAUGGUGCGGAUUUAUUCUCCAUGGUUCCUUCUUGCUGCCUAUAUAAUAUCCCUCUGUAAAAAAAAUAUUUGCGUUUCCUGGUGAUUUUUUUCUUAUCUGAUUUGGUAGUGAUCACUCUGCGGGCUUUGAUUUCACCUCCAGGGAAGUGGAUCGAGCGGAAGCUUCUUGAUUACAGUCAAGAGGCUCGAUUACUGUCAAGAGGCUGAGUGGUUCNUGAUUAAAUUGCUUUAAGUCAUCUCUGUAUAGAAAUUUGUGCACAGUUAGAAUGUGUUGCUUUUUUUUUCGCAAACUUAUGAGGCAUUCUUUUGAUUUUUUUUAAUCAUUAUAUGUAUUCAAAUCUUGAUGAAGAUAAAAUUUUGCUACAACAAUAUUUGCCCGCCGCAUCGCGCGGGUUACUACACUAGUUAU
rnacentral:lncRNA from 1 species